rnacentral:rRNA from 1 species
AGCGAACGCUGGCGGCGUGCCUAACACAUGCAAGUCGAACGUGAACGGAGCAAUCCUAGUAAAGUGGCGUACGGGUGAGUAACACGUAGGUAAUCUACCUUAGUGUCUGGAAUAACCUGACGAAAGUCGGGCUAAUACUGGAUAGAGCGACGGAAGCCGUAACGGUUUUUUCGGGAAAGGGAGCUCGAUAAGAGCCUUCGCACUAAGAUGAGCCUGCGUCUGAUUAGUUAGUUGGUGGGGUAAUGGCCUACCAAGACGAUGAUCAGUAGCUGGUCUGAGAGGAUGAUCAGCCACACUGGAACUGAAACACGGUCCAGACUCCUACGGGAGGCAGCAGUGGGGAAUCUUGCGCAAUGGACGAAAGUCUGACGCAGCCACGCCGCGUGAGUGAAGAAGGCCUUCGGGUUGUAAAGCUCUGUCACCUGGGACGAAAACACUGAAGGUUAAUAGCCUUCGGAAUUGACGGUACCAGGGGAGGAAGCACCGGCUAACUUCGUGCCAGCCGCCGCAGUAA